rnacentral:lncRNA from 1 species
UUUUUUUUUUUUUUUUUAAUUAUUCAAUGGCAUUUAGCAGAUGGAGAAACUCUAGAUCACAGAGAAAGGCUCAAAUUAUAAUCAUACACAAACUUAUAUGAGUUCCAAUAAAAAGUUUUAAAGGCCCUAGUCACUUAUUUAUAAACAUAUGAAAUUACUUGUUUCCAUUUGGAAAAAUAGACUGAGUGACAUAACUGGAGAACACACUUAUUACUAAUAAAGCGGUGAACCACAAGUAGACAUUUGACACGUAAUAAAACAACUUCAAUAUAAUCAAUGUAAACUACAGAAAGUUCCCAUUUUUAGGAGUGUUGAAUCCACCAUCGCUACCACCGCCACCACCACCAUUACCACUACCACUAAAAAAAAUGUUUAAAAGAUGUUUAACUGGAAGCAGAAUUGUUUUAUAAAAAAUGCUUACAGACUAAAAUUUUGUCAGUACUCUUCUGAGUGUUCAGAGUUUAAAGCAUUCACCAAGGAAGCUAUUCUAAAAUCUUAAAUUGUCUAGUUUUAAAUAAGAAAACAAAAAUGAAAAUAGGAGCAGACCUCAUCCUCUUUUUCUUGUUGACCUCUUAGAACAGUCAGUUGCAUACAAAGUUAUUUCUAAUUAUAAGAUAUAAAAGUUCAUAAUAUUUCCCACUCACUUGGCUUAUUUGAAGUCUAUUACAAGAUAUGUAUUGAUUCUCGUAGGAAACUUUGUUAACUUACCGUCGCUAUUAGUCUUCAGAAUGAAUUACGUAAAAUCAGAAUGCAUAGCUAUGCCCCUUUGUAAUCAGCUGCCUCGCUCGAUUCCUACCAAAUUCAAAUUAAAGAAAAUAAUGGCUUUUGGAGACCAUUAGGAAUAAUUAACCUUUUUACAAUCCAUAAUUUGAUCGUGAAUAAUUAUGUAACAAUAGAAUAAUGAGACUUAUUUCUCUAUCAGUGUUUUUGUGUGGCCUAGUUAUGCCACAUUUGCCAAAUUAUAUUUUUAAAUGACCUAUUAAAAUUAUUCAACUCUAUAAACGUAAGAGCUAGAAAAGAUUUAGGUAAUUGCAAUGGAUGUGUUACUCAAGGUUGUAUUUUAUUUUCCUUUCUUAUUACUAAAAAUAUUAAUUCAAUAAAAAUGUUUUAUACUGAAUUAUUUCAAUGGGUUAGAUACUAUUAGUAGAUAAGUAAGCAAAUCUGACUUGGAAAUCAUUAUGGAACAUCAGUCCUGGAGAGGAGAAAGACAAUUGUCAGAAACCACACAAAUAAAUACAGAUUUACAAUUAGAAACAUGAUGAGAGAAAAAACAGUCUUCUGUGAAUGAGCGUGAUUUCCAAAGUUUUCCCUGAAACAGCAACCUGUGAACUAAAAGAUUUUUUUACUGUGGUAAAAUAUACAUGACUUAAUAUUUAUCAUUUUAACCACCAUUCACUGACAUUAAAAAUAUUCACAGUGUUCUACAACCAUUGCCACCGUCUACACCCAAAAUUUUUUCAGCAUCCUUAACAAAAAUAACUCCUCCUUCUGCCCCGGUAUCUUCUAUCUAUUUUCUAUCACUACAGAUUUGCCUGCUCUUGCUACCUCAUCACUACAGCCUGAAUGUUUGGGUCCCCUGAAGUUUUGUAUUUAAUAAUAUUUUUAUAUUUUGAAAAAUAUAUUUUAUUUUAUUAUAUAUUAUAUAAUAGUUAUUAUAUAUAUUAUUAUAUACAAUAUAAUAAUAUAUAAUACAAAGUAUAAUAUAAUAUAUUAUAUAUAUUAUAUAAUAGUCAUAUAUUUUUAAAUAUAGUGGCUAUUAUAUCCUAGGAGGCAUAGAGUGGUACCCCAUGAUUUUAAUUUUCAUUUCAUUAAUGAUACUGAGCAUCUUUUUACAUACUUAUUGGACUGUAUAUCUGCUUUGCAAAAAUGUCUAUUAAAGUGUUUGACCACUUUUGAAUUACUUUGUGUUUUGUUGUUGAGUUUUAGGAAUUCAUUGUAUAGUCUGGAUAUUAGUUCCUUAGCAGAUACAUAAUUUGAAAUUAUUUUCUCCUAUUUGUUAGAUCGUGUUUCUGCUUUCUUAAUAAUAUCCUUUGAUGCACAAAAGUUUUUUAAAUUUUGAUGAUGUUCAAUAUAUCUACUUUUUGUUUUGUGGCAUUUGCUUUUGGUAUGAUAUUCAUUAAAUUGUUGCUAAAUCCAAUCUACUGAGGAUUUUUCCUAAUGCUUUCUUCUAAGAGUUAUAGUUUUAGCUCUAAAGUUCAGGUUUUUUGAUCCAUUUUGAGUUCAUUUUUGUAUAUGCUAUAAAGUAAGGGUCAAACUUUGAUCUUUUGCAUGUGGAUAUCCAGUUUUCCCUGGAAAAGAUUUGUUGAAAAGAUUGUCCUUUGCCACUGAAGUCUUGGCACACUUGUAGAAAAUCAAUUGACCGUGUAUGUGAAGGUUUACUUCUGGGCUGAUAGCUGAUGUUUUAAGGAUGGACCAGAGUUAAAUUAGUCUGGCAUUUAAAGUCUCUUUGGGGUAAUUCUGAGUUAUUCAAUUUACUCUGGUUUUCCAGCAGAAUAUAAUAUAGGGUGACACUAAAUCCAUUCUUCUUUCUUGUCGUGCAACCAGUGUGAGUCGUAAAUAUGCCAGUUUGUUUUUUUUUUUUCUGGUAUCCAACUGGUCAUGAUGAUUCAGAAAAGCACAACUCCCAAGGCCAACCCAUUAAUUCUCAUAAAUAGUACAGAACAAAGUUGCAAGGAAGAAGAACCUAAUUAUCUAACAAUUAGUGAAGCCCACCUCACCCACAAUAAGAUUAGUAAUUUAGGCUAUAAUCAAGAGCAGUAUAACUUCUUCCAGGCAAUUAAAAGAUUUGUGGCAGGAGAAGGGAAGGGGAGUUGGAGUCGUCAGUGGGGAUUUAAUGACAAUUAACAGGGGAAAUUUCUGUAAUUUACACUAAUUAUAUUUUAGAUUUUUAUUAUCUAUCAAAUAUCUCUUCUUCAUUAAUUUACUUUGAAGGAAGGAAUAUAUCCAGUUAAGGAACUUACUGUAUUUUCUAACAUGAAAAUAAAUAAUUUCAUGUCUUCACUUAAAGUGAUUAAAAUUUUAUGCCUAUUUUUUGUUGAAUUUGAAUAUGAGUAUACCAUGAUUUUAAAAAUCGUGUCCCACUUUCAAACUGCAUCUUCUUAGAUUUAUAAUAAAUAAAAAGUGGGCUCAUUUCCAGGUUAUAUACCUUUUCGUGAUUGCUGCUUUAGCUACACAAAGACUCAGAUGAAGAUAGAAAUUAUUGCUUGUAAGAGGCUAAUCAAUUUUAUAGACAAGUCAACAUCAUCUUCCUGUCUCUCCUUGGGUUGUGAAGGUGCAGGUAAGAGGAGGAGAAGAGAAAAGGUGGGAAACAGUGUAGGGAUGGCAAUUCCCUCCCUCCAAUUACAUGUGUACGUAUGUUUAUUUAAACUCCAUGAUUUAAAUAUUUCAAGAUUAUACAUUUAAUUUUAACAGCAUUCAUUUGUACUGUCGCUGAUGGUUGCAUUGCUAUUUGAAAAGUGAAAUGGUCCAGUGUCCCCAAAAUAUUGUGUCUUUUUAUAUAAGACACAAAAAAAUUGUGUUUUCUUUUACAUAAAUGUUUCUAGAAAUGCAAUAGACAACAGUUUAUUUAUGUAUAUUAUGAAAUGGGAGAGAGAUUUUUUGCCACAUGAAGAAAUUCCAUGAUGUACUUAUUCCAAUGACUUACCAUAGAAAUUAUUCUGGAAUAUUAUGCUUAUUAAGACCUUGUACUUGGUUUGACAUCUGUCACUUUAAUUAUGUUUUCUAUAUUUUAAAGCUUUCUUGUUAUCUUUUAUCUAUUUUGCUUUUGGAUGAAGGAACCAUGUCCAUUUGCUUUUAUCUUUUAUCCAUGACUUGUGAGGUCAACACCCUAUUUUAAAGAUAAUAUUUCAUGAUUAUCUUGGAACAUUAAAAUUCUUUUACCUAAUUAUGUCUGCAAUAACUAUUGACUUCCUCUGAUGGAUGUCAAGGAAUUUUUCACUGAUGACAUCCCUGUCUUUGCUAUUUCUCUUUUAUAUUUUGCAUUAUGUCAACCUGGAUAUUUAAAAUAUUCUUUUAAAAGCAGACUUUCUUACUACACUUAAAUAUGAUAUUUUACUUUCGUCGUCAUAAUUACGCUCAAUUACUUAAUUUUCCUCUUACUAUUGAUUCAUGAUUUGCAAGUUUGUAUUUUGUUUUGUGUUUUAUUUAUCCUACAAUUUUAGAUAGUUUAAGUGAUUAUAACCACUUUUUCUCAAUCACAACUUCCCUAAUGAAGAAUGCAAUUGCUUAUUCAUCUCUUAAUUGUUCAGAGCACAUUUUGUAAUGCAUCUUGCUGGAAAACAGACUUGAGUGGCAAAUUUUCUAAGAAUUGCAGAUUUGAAAAUGGCCUCAUCUUGCCUUUUGAAAAUAAUUAGCCUUUGGCUAAAGAUCUAAUGUUUGAGUCUGUAUCUAUUAGAGAUGUGUGAAGUUGCAAGUAACACAAAUUGCAAUCACAGGUGUUUAUUUUCCUCAUACAACAAGAAGUCUAGAGGUAUAUUGUCGCUAGCCUUGGCUCAGAUGCCAAAACGGUGCUGGAGCUCCAGUCCUAAUGUCUGUGGUAGGCAGAAUAUUGGUCCCAAAGAUGUCCACAUCCUAAUCACUGGGACCUGUUAAUAACGCUCAUUUACAUAGCAAAGGAAAAUGAAGGUUGCUAAUCAGUUAACCUUGAGAUGGGGAGAUUACCCUGGAUUAUCCCAGCCAGCCGGACAUAAUCACAGAAGUUCUUAAAAGCGGAAGAAGAGGCCGGGAGCAAUGGCUCACACCUGUAAUCCCAGCACUUUGGGAGGCCAAGGCGGGCGGAUCACGAGGUCAGGAGAUCGAGACCAUCCUGGCUAACACGGUGAAACCCCGUCUCCACUAAAAAUACCAAAAAUUAGCCGGGUGUGGUGGCGGGCGCCUGUAGUCCCAGCUAUUCGGGAGGCUGAAGCAGGAGAAUGGCGUGAACCCAGGAGGCAGAGCUUGCUGUGAGCCGAGAACGCGCCACUGCACUCCAGCCUGGGCGACACAGUGAGACUUCGUCUCAAAAAAAAAAAAAAAAAAAAAAAA